CUGUGUGUGUUGCCUGCCAGGCACUGUGUUCUCAAGCUACAUGGACAGGGGGAGUGUGACAAGCCAUGACCCCCAGCCUCACGGCGCUGCUCUGCCUGGGAGCCUACAGCAAACCCAGCCUCUCAGCCCUGCCCAGCCCUGCAGUGACCUCAGGAGGGACCGUGACCCUCCAGUGUGGCUCAUGGCUAAGAUUUGGCAAGUUCCUUCUGACUCAGGAAGGAGAAGAUGGGCUCUCCUGGACCCUGGACUCACAGCGAGGCCCCAGUGGGCAGUUCCAGGCCCUGUUCCCUGUGGGCCCUGUGACCGCUGGCCACAGGUGGAUGUUCAGAUGCUACGGCUAUGAGCAGGAACAAUCCCCAGGUGUGGUCGGAGCCCAGUGACACCCUGGAGCUCCUGGUCUCAGGUGAGGGAAGCCCCAGGCUUGUUUGAUUCAAUUUUUGGCCACGAAGCAGUUUGGGGGGAGCCUUUUCUUCAGGACAGCCACAGGUGAGAGAGAGAGGACGAGGGACACAGAGCUCCUGACUCACAGUCCCCAGGUGUCCUAGUUACUUUUUCUCAUUGCUGAGAUGAAAUACCCAACUCACAAAGUUAAGGGAGGAAAGGUUUAGUUAGCUCUGUUUGUAGAGGUUUCAGUCCAUAAUCAGCUGGCUCCAUGGCAAGAGGGCAUCACAGAGGAGAAACAGUUCAUGGUGGGCAGUGGGCAGCAAAGUGACCAAGACACCUGCAAGUGACAACAGCAGUGUCUUUCUGCCCGUUUGAUAGCUCUACCUAAGCUACCUGGCUUAGGGUGGUACCAAACCAAUCAGUGGACUACUUCAUUAAUCACAUGCUCUCAAUCCUAGCGUCACACACUAGAUCCAGCCACCUCUGAAGAAGCCCCACCUAUGACUGCGUGAGGCUUUGGGGGGACAGCUAGACACAAGCAGAACACCAGGUGUGAGAGACAGGGGAGACCCCCAGGGCAGGACGGGGGGGCAGGGCUGUGGCAGGAAGCAGCCCCUCAGCCCAGGUCCUCCUCCCCCAGGGCUGUCCAGGAAGCCCAUGGGGGUCAUCUGGAGGGGACUCAGCCCUAGAAGGGCAGAAAGCCAAUGGGGUCCUCCCAAGCAUGGUCAUUUUCAUUGCCAUCAUUGGAAUCCUGAAGGUUCCAGGUGGGGAGUGGGAGAGUCAUGUUGAGGCCACAGGGCAGAGGAGAGUAAGCAGAGACAAGGUCCCCAGGGACCGUGUCCUCUUGUGCCCAUUCCCAGGAUUCUCUGGGGGCCCCAUCCCCCCACUCUCAGGACCCAGCCCUGCAGCAGGUGAGUCCAGGGCCCCUGUCCCGAGUGUCCCAUGUCUAGGCUGCCUGGGGACUCAGACCAUGUCAACCCUGGUUCCAGCCUCAGCUCCACUUGUGUCCAGGGGACUGGGGAUCCGGCAGAGAUGUGGGGAACCCAGGUCCCCAGGGCUGAGAGUCAGGGUUGCAUGAGGGAUGGGUGAAGGCAGAGGGAGAUGUUGGGGUCCAGCCUGGGGGAGGAGCAGCAGCUGAAAUGGGGAGCAGGGAGCCCAGCCCCUCACCUCCCCAGCCCACCCAGGAGGGCCUGAGGAUCAGCCACGCAGCCCCCAAAGUCAGGAAAACAGGCUGGCUACGGUGAGUGAGGG
rnacentral:lncRNA from 1 species